UUUGCCAGUUUUCCCACUCACUCUUCGGCCCCCUGUGGUGACUUAUUAGGCUUGUGGCUUUCCCUAGGUCAUGCACCAUGGGAGACCACUUUCUGUCUGUCCAAGUUUUUAACCCUCGGUAAACCGACAUGGCUCCGUAAACCAGCAGGGCAGUUUGCCUCCAGCUGCUUUUCUUUGCCCUUAACGAGCCGUGAUGUAGGUCGCUGUGUGUUUGGAAAUAUAGUCAGAUUCCUUGAGCUCACACGGAGCGGAGCGCUUUAUCCCUGAAGCUGUGACGCCACGGGGAGAACGGAGGUCUUAGGGAGGGAGCUGUGAAUCCGCAGGACUACACCGCUCCGUGGGCGGAUUCAGACUGUGGAGGCUACCUCCCCAGAGUCAGCGGGAAGAGCAACGCGGGAGUCCGGCCAGUCUGAGAGGCUAGCACAGCACACAGACGCGGACACAGCAGCCGUGAUCCCGGAAAGCAGGGGAGAGCCAUACCCAGGAGCUGCUCUAGAAACUGCAGGUCAGGCCAGAUUUCUGUGCUUCCCUCAGGACUGAAGAGAGCAGUCAGCGCUACGAUGACCAGCUCUUGAGCAAUACACACGCACAGCAGCGAAAGCACUGGGAAAAAAUGCCACGUCUACUAACGGGGAAACCUGAGUCCCCAGGCCAACGGCCUGAGAACGCCACACACAAGCAGUUACACAACAGCACACACGUGUGCUCCAGAGUGUCAGGCCACAAGCCCUUCAACUGUGUGUGGAUUCAUUGCUCUCGGGACUUAAGAGACACCCCUUCAUCGAUUCAAAUGAAGAUUUACUGAAUAAAUAAAAAAUAAACUUAAUAGUGGCGUGGUAAAAUUGGAGGAUGAGAAAGCAUUGUGGUGACUUCUGUAAGGACCUGGUUGUUUGGGAACCUGACCCAGCCGCCCUUACUGGGCAUUUAGGGCCUUUCUUUCCACACCAGGCUUCCCCUCAGCCCACCACCUCGGAUUCCGUAUAUACACGCCUUUCCUUUCCUGGCACGGUUCCUUCCUCUCUCACUCUGUGUAUUAAUUCAGCAAUCUAGGACCCCACAUUGUGCUGCUCUCUUGUAGAGUAUCUGAGCACACUUACUAAAUACGGUGCUAAUGUUUAUUAUCAAGCAAUUAUAAAGAUAAUAAAAUAUACUUUAAACACAUCCGGCAGACAGAAGCUUUAAUUUUUAUUUCUAUAAACACUGAUGGAUCUGCACUUUGAAAGCCACUGCUUCCCAGCACAGACCGGAUCUCCCAGAACACGGGCAGUCCUGGGAAAGCAGGGUAGCACACACAGCAGACUCUCCAGAGGCCAGAGGCUUCUUCUGCCUUCAUCUCCAGUUCCCUGAAGGCCAAACUCAAACUCCACCCCAGGCCUUAUUUUAAUCUGCUCCUGAAGGAGGCACCAAGUCUGUGAAGUUAAACCAGAAGCCGGAGGGGGAGAAGGUGGGGCAACAGGGAACACCAAGGCUGGGAUUAUGGGGAGAGACCCAAGUUAAAAAAAGAAUUAAUGCCAAGGAAAAUACACAAACAAGGAAAUACCAUCUGCCUUACAAUAAAAACAUUAAAAUAGUCUUAGUUGUAUACUGAAAAUUCAUAUUCUUAAAAUAUAUAGGAAAUAUGCCGGGCGGUGGUAGAGCAUGCCUUUCAUCCCAGCACUCGGGAGGCAGAGGCAGGCGGAUCUCUGUGAGUUGGAGGCCAGCCUGGUCUACAGAGCGAGUUCCAGGACAGGAAUCAAAAGCUACGGA